AUUCAUACCUUGCAUGGGAGAUACCAUGAUCAUUGAAGUGGUUUUCCCAGGGUGAGGCUCAACCAUUGCACUUCAGGUGUGCUGAUCCCUGUGAUUUCCGCAGAUGUGGGAAAAUCACCUGCCUAAGUGGGGGACUGCAUUUGUAGUUUCCCCUG
rnacentral:snRNA from 1 species